rnacentral:lncRNA from 1 species
UGAGAUGAAGGACGGUGCAGCUGAUUGUAUUGUUGGACGAAUUCAGGGCCGACACACUUGAUAACUGGAGCAUACAUCACUUUUAGCCACUCCAAAUAAGGGAGCCGACACAAGCCAUCCGGGAGCUGGGUGCAGCAGGGCAGGUGUUCGAGGCAUAGAAGCUUCAAGCUCUGGAGAGGCACCAUAGCUGUGGACGCCAUCCAUCCUGGGAGCCGGCGGCCAAAAUAUCUUUCUAUGAUGAUUUGUUCUAUGCAAGGCUGAGGACAAAACGCAUCAAACACCGCCUCAAUUAUUUGCUCCUCCUCCUUAGACUCAGAGACUCCUCCUCCCACUCGGCCGCCACAUCUUAAUUCAAGUUUGGUAAGGUAUUUCUUUGUAUUUAGAUUUGCCUUUGCGGCCAACAAGGCACUAGAUAUAUUUUCCAGACUCUUUAGUGAAAGGCAAUGGAGUUGGGAAAGAGGCCCCAACUCCUCCAAACUACACCAGUCACCAUCAAUAUAGGCUGGAAACCCACAUAGUACCCUCAAAUUUGUAAGAGCCCGGAAACCCCUAGGAAUACAGCUUACACGUGUGCCAUCAAUAUCAAGAAAUCUCAGCCCUUGCAGCUUGACAAUGCUAUCAGGAAGUUUCACAAAACUCUCACAACAUUCAAGGCUAAUAUGUUCUAGGUAUUUCAUCUCAUGGAUGUUCUCGGGCAGGCUACACAUAUCAAUCUUGUUUAAUGCCAAAUAUCUCAAGUGCUUGAGUUGGUACACACCUUCAACUAGUGCAGAAAUAUUUGCAGAUUCUACGUGUAGAAGACGUAGACUUGGGAAGUUAAUCAACAAAUCACCAGGCUCAGUUUUGAGGUUUCCAGUUAAUAUUAGUGUCCUAAGCAAUUUCUGCUCUCUUAAAUAUCUCCACUCAAAUUCAUCUGAUCCCACUCCUCUGGUCUCUAUAGAUAAUCUUAGAAAAUUGGAUGAUUUAAGGGUUUUUAUAGCAAUAUCUGCAUUAUGAGCUACUAGUGUUUCAUCCCUAGCCAUAAAUUGAGCAAAUGAACGAAUGACAUCAUGCAUGUUGCAAAAAAGUUGGCUAGGGAAUUUUGGAUCUACCUCUAUAAGGUUUCUUAAUAUUAGCUCUUUGUAGUUCUUUUCCCCUUCCUCUUCCAAACUGUUUGAGCCUCCUUGAACCAAUCCUUCACAAAUCCACAUUGACACGAUUUCAUUGAUAGAUAGCACUACCUUCUUGGGUUUAAGUGAGAAGUGCAGGAAGCAUUGUUUUAAGUGAGGGGACAUGUCCUGGUAACUAAGAUAUAUUGCAUAGUUUAGGUCAUCUGACAUUGGAGAUACUGACCAUAUAUCAUCAUGCAAGAUAUCUUCCCAAUCACGCCGUGAUUUUUCCUUAUUGCAUAGAAGUCCACCCAUCACUUUAAUAGCAAGUGGUAAACCAUCACAUUUUGCAAGAAUUUGCAAGCCAAGAUCCUUUAGCACAUCAACCUCAUGCCCGUUUUCCUCUGUUGUGAGUACCUACAAUCAAUUUAAAUAUCUGGCAUCAGCAACAAAGGGGAACAUGACAAGCGACAUUUGUGAUCAGAUAAUUUAUUUAUUUCAUUUACUAAUCAUAUGCUAGAUCGGUGAAUAAACCAAACUAAUACUCCAUCUAACCACAAAUGUAUCUCGCUUGGUACAUUGACAAAGUCUUCAAACUGAAACAAAGUUUCCACUAAAUUCAAUAGAGAUAUGUUGCUAGAAAUUAUAAUGUAGUACAACAUGAAAAUAUAUUCCACGGUAGAUGUAAUAGUGUCAAUUUCAUGUAAUCAAUGUGGGUAAAUACAGUUAUAGCCAAGUUUUGAAAUAAUUGUCUCACCCAUGUCCUAAGAUGAACUAUAUUCAAAAGGAGUAAAAGUUACACACUGCCUGAUUAAAUUCUAGUGGAGAAGUGUAAGGUCACUCGUUAAUUAAUCGUUUCUGAGUGAACAACCGACGAGACUCCCUCACAUUGCCUCCCCUGGGCGUCGCCAGGGGACCAAAUCCUAGCUCCCCCGGUCCCUUCCGUCUCCUCUCCUGUUGCCAGUACCGCCGGCCUAGUCCGCGGUGGUGGUGGGCCCGACGCCAAAGUGUUAGGUCGGGUGGUGUGCUGCAGGAUCUUCCGGAGGCGGCAGGGGCGACUUCGGCGUUGGAUCCGCGAGAAGCAUAUAGGGCGGUGCCCCUAGCCUGUGCGGCGGCGGACAGAUCCAUGGACGGUAUGGUGUUCUUUCCCUCGGUGGAGUCUAUGCCUAAGAUUGAUGGACAAAAGCUGCAGAUCUGGCGUCCCAUCUAGAUCCGUCCCGACAUCGUUCUUUCCAACCGGCGGCGCGUGGAGGACAGGCGAGGGACGGCUCAAGGCGCCCUGCCGGCGUACCAGCGGCGGCUUUAGUCUUCGCGAAGAGACUCCGUUCGGUUCCAAUCAGCUACGAGAUCGGAAGGGCGUGACAUCCGGUGAAAAUCUUGCCGACUACGGCCAGGGCGGAAGAUGGCGGCGUCUGUGACGUCGUUCCCUUCUUGAGGCAUCAUUGUUGCAGGUGGUGGCACCCCACUCGUGAUGCUCUCCGGGGGAAACCCUGGAUCUGGGUCUACCGAAUUGUACGAUGAUGGUACCUUCGAUGUCGUUGUCCCUCCUGGGGGCAUCGUUUUGGAGCACGUGCUGGCUGGAGGGGACAAGAUGAGGACUAAUGUUACAUCUACCGCAAGGCCUACGGUGGAUCCCGGCGGCAUGGCACCGAGGAGGUUCAGCGACGGGCGUGUGUGAACGGAUACGUGCAGGAUGGUGGCGUUGUCUGGCACCAAGCAAGGGCGCUGCGUCAGUUUCUGCUCUGGAGAUGGAUGGAUGGAAGAUGGCGGCUGCAGCCUCUAGCCUCUGAGAGUGUGUCGGUACGGUGUGUGACCUGGUCCUGGUAUGUGUUCGGGAUGGGGCACCCGACUUUAGAUGUUAGGCUUUGGUGCGCUGUCUGUUUGGUAUUUGACUCGGAUAUUCGGCAUCCCUUCAUCAAAAGGAUAGGAGUAGAAACAGGUGUUGGCUAGAUGAUGGCUUCAAGAUUAUUGAUGUAUUGCAUUGUAUGGUCUUUGUGAAUAAUUAAUAAAAUGACCGCAUGCAUCGUUGAGAUGCAGAGGCCGGGGUAUAUCCUUCUUUUCCAAAUAAAAAAAAGUCUACUAAGGCAGAAAUCAUGCACAACUACAUACUAUUCAUUUAUCCUAACUGAUAUAUUUUGUCUACCUUAUAUAUUAUCAUGAAACACGAAGUCUUAAGUACACACAUAUACACCAUGAAUAUUUCAUUUGAUCUGACAUAUAGGUUUUUGGGCAUGACAAGGUCCUAACAUUCAUAGAUCUUGACCAUUAAGUUAUAUGCAAGCUUGUGUCCUUACAUUACCUAGAAAUAAAAAUAGAUUUUCUAAUGAAUAUAAUGAUAUCAAUUUAUGUAUCAGAUGAUAUAAUUUUAUUUAUAUAUGGUCAAACUUAGAAACACUUGGUUCGCAAUAUUCUAAAAAGACCAAGAUUUUGGAUCAGAGGUGCUAGUAGUUAACUACUAUUUGCCCAAACAAGAAAAUAAAUGUGAAUGGUAUUUACUUGAGUUUGUAUUAAUAGCAAAACUUAUGGAAUAAGAGCAAUACAACUUGUAUGAUGUUUAUUGUGGUACCCAUACUAAUCUUCUGACAAGCAAUUAUUAAUAACUAAUAGUAGUCAAUCAACUGAAGACAUUUACAAUGACGUACUAGAGAGUAUGUUGGUACACAAUACAUUAUAUUUAACUUGAUUAUAACUGUCUUGAGCCAACAAACAUACAUAUGUAACUGCAUAUUCUACUAAAAGGAGAGGUGUUAGAGUUUGUGGCAGUACCAACCUGCCUCUUGAGCAAUGACCAUGCAUCUUCAGGCCCUAACCUGUCAAUGUGGUGGUGGUGCACAGCUUUCAUGCUCCGAGCAACAGGCUCAUGUCUUGUGGUGAUGAGUACUCGACUUCCACGGCCACCAUAGCCAAAGGGAGUCAUUAGAUGUUUAUUCCAUGCAUCGACGCUCCACAUGUCAUCCAGCACAAGAAAGAACUUCUUAUCCUUGAUGGUAUUCAUGAGAGCACGAACAAGUAGGUCCUUGUCGUCUCGAGCUGCACCUCCACCAGGCAGGUCUCCCCCAGCAGCAGUAAUGGAUUUACUUAACAGCUCAACACCACUGAAAUCCUGUGUGAUGCUAAGCCAUAUCUGCUUAGUGAAUUUACCUUUGACAGCCUCGUCAUUGAAGAUCUUCUUGCCGAGGGUGGUCUUGCCAAUCCCGCCGACACCAACGAUGGCCACUACCAUGAGGUGAUCAGUCUUGUCACCGUCCACCUCCCUAGUAAGCACCUCCACAAGUGCUCUUGUGUCAUCCUCUAUCUUCUCGCCGACAGCACCUGACCGAUCCAUCAAUGAAUCCGUUUUGCGGUCAGUGGCGGGAGAUCGAGUCCUCUUCAUGUCUUGGUAGGCUUCCAGCUUGACGAAGUCGAAACUACGUCCUCUCUUGCAAAUGCUAUCCAACUUCUCAUUCAGUUCCUUGAUGCGGGUGCCGAUGUCGUGGGCGUGGAGGGGGUUUCGCAUGCAGAAGAGGAGUGGGUUAAGGCAUCCCAUGCUCUUGGAUGGACCCUGCUCCAUGGCCUUGAGCUGACAUAGGUCGAUGAUGUCGGUGGCCAGAUACAUGGCACGCUUCAGUUCCCCCACCCACCCCCGCACACUCUCAUCUGUGAUGUUCCUCCGAUCAGCAUCUGCAAGGAAGUUCUUGAGGUCCUUCAGCUUGAUGUCCAGCGUGUUGAUCUCGCCGGACACACCGAUGAGCAUGGCCACCUCUUUUGUCGCCAUGUCGGCGAGCAUGUUGGUAACAUAGGAUGCCAAAGCAUCCAAAACCCCUGACAUUGGUUUGAGGGCUUUCGCUGCUGCACAGAAAAAAUGCAAAGCAAACUGCUCAUUAUGCCGUCUAAGAACAAAUGUCGUCGGAUGCUAAAAUUUGAACUACAUGCCAUAGGUAGCUAUGAAUUUCACUAUGAGCUCGACCAAGACGAUGGAUACCUUCCUUUCUUUUGAGAAACAAAAGAGGAGUCUAUUACUAGGAACACAAGAAAAACAGCUAAUGUGCUGAAAUUACCUGAAUCAACUCAGCUGAAGAGAGUAGAAAUGAAAGGAUUGUUGGAUGACCGAUGUGCAGUGCAGUAGUAUGUACGUACGCCUGGUAGUACUUUUAUAGACGAAUGAGCUGUAGACUCUCUGCUAUGUGUGCGCAUAGCAUAGGAAUAUUUUAUUAUAUUUUUUAAAGUAUACUUGAAGGAAUAAAAUCCAUUUUUUAAAAUGUAUAUUUGUCAGAAAUAUACCAUUUACACAUAGUCUCUACAUAACAAGAUGCCACAAAGACAUUAAGUUGUACACAGAACAAAAAAGAACCGAAAAAGGCGUAGCCACAGUGAUCAUCUCCUUAAAACGGAAGGACACAAACCAUCAUCAAAUACAACACCCAAAAAACAUCACAUGGUCUCCAAAAGCGACACCUUGAAAAAGAAAAUAGUGCACAAACGCCUAUGUCGCCCGAUCUAAUACCUUCAACAAAGUUUGAUCUCUCAAAACAAUACUUCCUGUAAGACAAUUGCAAGGAACAACCAUUAAAGGUCAGAUCUUAGUUUUUACCCUAAAAGUAACGACUCGGCAUUCGAGAAGCACUACAGAAAAUGAAAUUCUCCAAUGUUACCGCCUCCACUUGUCACUUCUGUUUUUGAAAGCUAGCAAACACCUGGAUGUCACCUCCAAGGCAACCUCGCUGUGCACCGCCGAUCGCUAGUCCCACCACCAUGGCAAUCAACCGCCGCAUCACUGCGACCCUCGCCAUCGCGGUGUCAUGGCCCAGCCACGCCGUACUGUGAUGGAGGCAGUGCACGAGAAGGGGCAAUGCCAGGCGAUAACAAAGAUAACUAUGUGCAUCAUCCGAUGCAGUGGGAUGAUAACAAAGUUAUCCUCUUUUCGGCAAAAAAUUUUUUGAUUGAAUGUUGCCCGCAACGGCUGGAUCUUGAACGCUUGCUUGCUCGUGACUGGAUCCACACCCCUUCAUUAACAGCCUAUUUUAAUUUUCCUUGAUGAGUGCAGUUUGUUAAAUCUGUUUUUGCAUUGUUUUUCUCGAUCUCUACUCCAUCGAUCGGAGUAAAAAUAUAUUUCCACGCACAUCGAUCACAUGCAUGCACCAACGAAUGGUAAUAUGUUGGACUACUGACGCGGCUAGCGGGAUGCACGGAUCUUGUUACCUCCAACGAAUCUACUCUCCAGUUUGCACGCAUCAGCAUGUGAUAUCCACCAGCUCAACAAAACUGAACCUAAUAAGUCCUAUUGUGUAUCACCUACAGAUAUCCUGCGGCGGCGGGAGGGCGGCCAGCGGCGCUUGGCAGGGAGAGGGGAGGAACCCCUAGCAAGAGGGGUCGGGGCAGCCUGCUGUUAAUCUCAAGGUAAACGCUUGUGGCCGGUGCGCCGACCGAACCGUUCGUCCGGCGACGGUUGGCAGGGAGAGGGGAGGAACCCCUAGCAAGAGGGGUCGGGGCAGCCUACUGUUAAUCUCAAGGUAAACGCUUGUGGCCGGUGCGCCGACCGAACCGUUCGGCCGGCGGCGGUUGGCAGGGAGAGGGGAGGAACCCCUAGCAAGAGGGGUCGGGGCAGCCUACUGUUAAUCUCAAGGUAAACGCUUGUGGUCGGUGCGCCGACCGAACCGUUCGGCCGGCCGCACGCGACCCGCGCGCUGAGCGUUGACUGGGCAUGCAACAUUUUUCCGUCUAAAAUGUUGCAAUCAGUGUCAUAUUUGCUGCAAGCGGUUUAAUUUGCUACAUUUGUCCAGUAAAAAAGCUGCAUGUACAUUUGGUUGCAACUUCAGUUUAUUGGAUUUUUCGUUACAAUUGAUGUUUUUUACUUUUACUACAACUGUGUUAAUUUUUUGCUACGACCGACAUCAUUUUUUUGCAGCACCAAGCGCGGUGGCACUGGGAGCACUGCGUCCCGCUGUCGUAUCCGGAUAUCACCCUCCCUCACCACUGGCAUCUGGAUCCGGAGAGGAUCUCGGUGCCGGCCGUGUCGCGGUCAGCCUGGAUGCACGCAGAGGAGGUGAGUCACCGGAAGCGGCAGCUGAGGCCGGAGCAGCGGUGUGACCUUGCGUAUGCGGCCGACUCUCCCCUUUGGAAGGCCUGGUUCGCGAUCGAGCACAAGGAGUAGCGCUGGCGCGGCGUGCAGCCAGGAGGCCCUCAGCCGCCCCCGCCCGUCGUUAGUGACGAGGACCAGGAGGCGGAGGCCACCUACUAGGCAACGCUUGCAGCCGCACUCCACUAGAGAGAGGAGGAAGAGCGACGCAAGGCCGAUGAGGAGCACAUGGCGUACGAGGCACAACUCGCGGAGGCCAUCGGCGGCGGACAACGUCGUUCCCUCUCCGCCGAAGAGCAAGCCGCAGCCGGAGGUCAACUAGUGGACUGGCUACGUCCGCGAGUGGGUCAGCGUGCCGCCCAUCUGGUUGGACGUGACACCGUAACAGGAGGCCGCCUACCUCCAACACUGGAGGGAACUGCACCUGGCGGAGGAGCGCAUCGACGACCUGCUGCAGUGCCACCGCCGCUAGCACAGCCCGCGCCGGCGCGACAAAUGACGGAUGCACAAGCAGUGGCGCUCUAGAACACAUCGUUCCCGUGGGCCGGCCCUGCGUCCAGGCUGGUUGACCUCACCAACCCCAACGACGACGUCUAGGCAGCCUCAUAGUUUAGGUUUAAUGUUUAAUUAAGGUAAUGGAGACACGUGGACUCUUGCCGCCUUCGUGGCCGACUUUAAUGUUUAAUUAAUAUUCAUUUUUUAUUUUCGAAAAUGUCUGAUUUUUUUUCACGUGUCGGCUAAAAUGGGUCGGGCCAGCGUUGGAUGCAUGGACCGACGCAAACACGAAAACGGGCGUUGAUGUCCACCGUGGAGACCCAAACUGACACGUUCAGUCUUUAUCGGUAAAGAAUAUUAAUUUUGAAAAUCAUUUUUUUCUUUUCAAUAUAGUAUUUUUUCUAAAAAAUAAAACAAAAAUUUUAUGUGGAAAUAUGACAAUAUAUUCAAGGUCACAGAGAAAUGUACAUAUAUAUUGUCACAAUGUGCAUUCCAAUAUAAAUAAUACAAUUAUUCAUUUCCUUACCAAUGAUUCCAACUUUUUUUUGCGAGGGCUUACCAGUGAUUCCAACUUAACAAAAGGCCUAGAGGUUUUGUCAUUUCGAUGUCUUACACAUGCGUGUGCGCACGCGCACACACGCGCACGUAUGUAGAAAUGAUCAACUCAUGCAAGUGUUAUUUCUAGGAAAGAACAAUAAGUCAGCUUAAUAUUUUGUAGAUCAAAUGUUCAUACUAUAUAUGGGUCGGGCCAGCGUUGGAUGCAUGGACCGACGCAAACACGGAAACGGGCGUUGAUGUCCGCCAUGGAGACCCAAACUGACAAAACAUGAACAAAAUCGACCUCUGUUUGAGUCGGUCGGUUAGAGUUGCUCUAAGUCAUCUUAAUUUCUAGGAGCUUGAACAAACUCCACUUUCUGACAGUCAUUUGUGUUGUUCAGUCCACGACAAACUGCUAUUCUAGCGACUGGUACAUGACAAUAUAAACUAUGAAAAUAAAACAAGUUCAGUCUUUAUCGGUAAAGAAUAUUAAUUUUGAAAAUCAUUUUUUUUCUUUUCAAUAUAGUAUUUUUUUUCUUUUUAAUAUAGGAUUUCUGCAAGGUUGUAGACCUGUCAUCUUCCUUGAUGGUUGUCAUAUUAAGACUAGAUACAGAGGUCAACUACUUGCAGCUGUUGGUGUAGAUCCAAACAACUGCAUAUUUCCAAUAGCAAUAGCUGUGGUUGAGGUUGAGGAUACCCUUAACUGGGCAUGGUUUCUUGACACAUUGAAAAGAGAUCUAGGCAUCAUAAACACUGAACCUUGGACCAUAAUGUCAGACAAACAAAAGGGGCUCAUCAAUGCAGUUGAAGAAUUGUUCCCUGAAGUUGAACACAGAUUUUGUGUUAGGCACAUGUGGCAAAACUUUCAGCAAUCUUUCAAGGGUCAUGUAUUGAAGAAUCAACUAUGGAAGAUAGCAAGGAGUAACACAGUUCAACUGUAUGAACAAGGCAUGGAGGAAAUGAAGCUACUGAAUGUUGAUGCCUACAAGUGGUUGCAAGAGCUAGAACCUGAUACUUGGGUUAAAGCUUUUCAGAAAGACUUGCCCAAAUGUGAUAUUUUGCUAAACAACAUAUGUGAAGUUUUCAACAGGUACAUUCUGGAGGCUAGGGAACUACCAAUACUUAGCAUGGUUGAUAGGAUUUAUAGACAGCUAAUGACAAGGCAUUACAACAAGCAGAUGGAGUCAGAUAAAUGGCCUGGUGAUAUUUGCCCAAAGAUCAGGAAGAAGGUUGAGAAGGCAACAGAAUUUGCAAACACAUGCUAUGUGGAGGGAUCAGGAGAUGGCCUUUUUCUAGUAGGUGAUAGACGAGUUGAUUACAUUGUGGACAUGCACAAGAGAACAUGCACCUGCAGAAGGAUACAGAAAUCAAGGGUUCCAUGCUCUCAUGUCAUAGCCUACUGCGGGAAUGAUAGAAUUGAUCCUCUUCUGAUGGUUGACCCUUGCUACUCAAAGGAGAUGUUCAAGAGAGCAUAUGGUAAUAUUAUAUAUCCUUGCAAAGAUAGGAGAGAGUGGGAGGAUUUACAUGGGCCCCCAAUUCAGCCACCAUUGUACCAGAAGCAUGUGGGUAGACCAUGUACCAGAAGAAGACAAGCACCUGGAGAGGUUGAUCAUAGAAGGGGAGGGAAGAAAAUAACAAGGCAUGGUGUCAUCAUGCACUGUUCUUACUGUGGUGAGGCAGACCACAACACCAGGGGUUGCAAGCACAAAAAGGUUGGACUGCCACCACCAAGGGCUGGCAGUGUGACAAAUCAAGAACAAGGUCCUGGCAGUGUGACAAAUCCAGAACAAGGUGCUGGCAGUGUGCCUCAUCCAGAACAAGGUGCUGACAGUGUGACAAAUCCAGAACAAACAGCUACAUCCACUGAAGUUGAUCCUGUUUUAACACAGGUAACACUUGUAUGAUCAUGUUUUAACACACUGAAGUUGAUCAUGUUUGGCAUUUAUCUAACACAAACUUUUGCAUUUCAGCAGGACCAUCAAGAACCUUCUGCAACAUAUGAAGAUCUGAUGGUAGACAACAUGAUUGCCCAGGUAACAUAACUACUCCAUACCCCAUAACAUAACUAGUACUGCAGUAUUGAUCUCACAAUGGACACUUGUGUAUUUUUUAGAUGCCAAUACCUAGAGUUGUGGAACAAAGGCCACUACCAUCUUCUAGUUUCCUGAAUGCUGCCCAAGUGGUGCUAAACCAGUCUCUUGAUGGCCAAGGCAGCCAAGCAAGUUCAAAUACCAUCAGGCCUGGUGAGUUGGCACAGAAAUUGGAGGCCAUGAAGAACCAGAGAGAUAGGGAACUAGAGGAGAGGAAGCAGGCCAUUCUGGCAUCUAGAAGACAAGAGGAAUUGAGGAGAGCUGAAGAGGUAGCAAGAAAGAAACAUGAGGUUGCACAGAAGAAGGCUGAACUAGCAGAGAGAAGAAGAUUGGUUGCUGCACAGACAACUGCCAAAAAGAAAGAAGAAGCAGAAAUCAACAAGAAAGCUCAAGCUGAGACAAGACAGAUUAUUCAAGACACAAUGAAAACAUUAGCUGCUGAGAAGAAGGCAAGGCAAGAAGCAGAGAGGAGAGCUGCUGCUCAAAACAAAGAGGAAGAAAAGAGAGCACAGAGGGAAGCAGCUGCUGCAAAAAGAGAAGAAGAGAAGAUAAUUGCUGCUGCAAAAAGAGAAGAAGAGAAGAAGCUUGCUGCUGCCAGAAAACAAGAGGAGAAGAUGCUUGCUGCUACCAGAAAAGAAAAGGAGAAGAAGCUUGCUGCUGCCAGAAAAGAAGAGGAGAAGAAGCUUGCUACAAAAAAAGCAAGGGAGCAAAGCAUGGCUGCUGCAAAAAGAAAACAAAGCUGGGUUGACAAUGAAGCUGCCUAUCCAAAGAAGGCUCCAGGAUCUUCAAUGUUUGAUGUCUUUAGAUAGUAUUAUUCAUAGUGACUGCAAUAUUGUCCAUGUAAGAAACAUGGCUAUUUUCUUUUGUAUGUGGAUGAUGGGCAAGACUUAUUUGGUUGUGACAACAAGUUUUCAUGCAUUAUAUUUGGUCAGUUUGGCAUAUUUGUCAAGUUUGGAAAAGACUUCCUUCUUAUUUGGUCAUUUUGGUCCUAUUUGUCAAGUUUGGAAAAGACUUCCUUCUUAUUUGGUCAUUUUGGUCCUAUUUGUAGACAAUCACAUAUUAAGAAGGAAUGAUAUAACAUAGGGUUCAGCAUAGCAUUGUCACUUCCACCAUUACAUGAGACCAUUACAUGAAACAAACUACAUGACACAAACUAGGACUGCCACCAUUACAUGAAACAAACUACAUGACACAAACUAGGACUGCCACCACUACUAACAUCAUUGCAGUGUCCCAAAAUGAACCUGGCAUCACCAAUGCAGCUAGUCUUCAGUUCUUCACCAUGUAUAGCACCAAUGCACCAACACCUAACAUCAGCACAACAACAAGCAGGAUCUUCAUGAGCAUCACCGGCUCUCUCCCAAGCUUCAUCAGUGCAGCAGCUUGCUGCCUGGUCAUCACAUUGCCACUCUCUCUCUUCACAAACUUCUUAGACAUGCUGGUUGAUCCAUUCAUGUAAUGAAGCUCUUGUGCAUUCAGAAGUUGCUCCCUGCGUUCCUCAGCCGCACCAAUAGCAUCCACAGCUGCAUCGCCAACCAGGUAGUGAUUCUCAACCAGGUACUGCACGUACUCCAAUUCCCAACGCCAGAACUCACAACUCACCUAUCCAAAAAUACAUGGCAAGGUAAAAAAAAAGUUCAAUCUUUGCAUCCAAAACGGAAUAGAAUGCAUGGACAAGACAUAAAUGGAAGAGAUAAAUCCAUGGAAACACUAACCCCAUGAUUUUGGCACUUGUAGAAGACCCAUCCAUCGUGCUUCUCAGUGGUGGACACAAACAUGCGCACUUUCUCCUUGCAGCCUGCGCAGCGGAUCAGCGGCAGCGCCAACGCCCGACGGCGGACAUCAGAGGAGGACGAGCUCGUGAGAGACAUGACCGCCAGAGCUUGCGGUGGACAGCGCCAGAGCGACAGUGACCGAGCAGAGCGACGGAGGCAGAGCAGAGCGACGGAGGGUUAGGGAUUUGAGGGGGACACCGCGGGUUAGGGAUUUGAGGGAUUGGGGAUUUUGGUUCUUUUACAAAUAACCCCCUCAUGAAUCGUUGGCCGAAUGAGAGACCAGUACGUGGCGGUCAACAAUAGGUCAAACUAGGCCUGUACGCACCGCAUACGUGCUACAGUGACCGUACAAUCACGUUCCAUCGUAUAUAGUGACCGUAACGAGCGUAUUCCAAUGGUCAGUGACCGUAUCGUGCUUUCGUCCCAAAUACAGUGACCAUGAGUGUAUUUAUCUCAUUUUGAAAACCAUUUUUUUCUUUUCAAUAUAGUAUUUUUUCUAAAAAAUAAAACAAAAAUUUUAUGUGGAAAUAUGACAAUAUAUUCAAGAUCACAGAGAAAUGUACAUAUAUAUUGUCACAAUGUGCAUUCCAAUAUAAAUAAUACAAUUAUUCAUUUCCUUACCAAUGAUUCCAACUUUUUUUUGCGAGGGCUUACCAGUGAUUCCAACUUAACAAAAGGCCUAGAGGUUUUGUCAUUUCGAUGUCUUACACAUGCGUGUGCGCACGCGCACACACGCGCACAUAUGUAGAAAUGAUCAACUCAUGCAAGUGUUAUUUCUAGGAAAGAACAAUAAGUCAGCUUAAUAUUUUGUAGAUCAAAUGUCCAUACUAUAUAUUAUGUAUAGUAAAGGACAUUUUGCACAUAAAGCAUGUUUUCCUAGUUGAUAUUCUAAAUCCGCUUAUGUAAAUUGUCUUUGUUAAGUCGUAACGAUCGUACAUAUUACAAUUACUAUGACUGUCCGGUCACUAAACAACUAUUCACGUAGGCUUCUCAAACAAACCUCAAACGCCCGGGCUGGCCGAUAUCCCUCGUAUUCAGCUAAAAUCUAAGACAAAUAUGGGAUGCAUGAGCGCCCCAGACACGUCCGCCGCGUCGAAGCCGGCCCACCAUGGCCCAACCGACCCCACAUAUAUUCGCCUCGAUCCUCUUCCUACAAAAAACCCUAGCAACUCCAUUCCAUUCCACUUCACUCCACUCCCCCACCCAAGCCCCCGUUCAUCGAUCUCCGACCUUCUUUGGCAUUGCGGACAAAGCUUCCGAGCAUACACAUCUAGAUCCAUCAAUCAUGACCUCAUCCCACGCGGCGUCGAGGAGGAGAUGGCCGUCUGGCUUGCACCCUGCCACUCCAGGGAGGAGGCUGUCCAACGAUAGCGCCCGGACUCCUUCCGUCUGGAAUCCAUUGCGUCCGCAAAAAUGGCGCAUGAUUUCGCCGGUAAUGGUGCCAUCGCUGCCUCACCAAAGAGGUGUGAUCCGUAUGGCGUCCGACGCAGUCGGUCGCUAGACAUGAGCAUGACGGAGCCGACCGAGCUCCGCUUACUAUUAGGUUUACGUUGCUUGUAACAAUAUUGAUUUAAGGUUUUAAAGCGGUUGCGGGCAUGUGAGUGGUCGGAUUUGUACUGUGUAUGCUCUAAUACAGUUCACAUGCACACCCAUAAAAUAACCCCAUCACAUGACAGCACAUUCAUUCGUUCGUAUUUAUGUUGGAACGGUAAGGGCGGACGUUUGUCCCUAGGCAGUCAGUGGGCAGUGAGUAUCUUUUUGCAGCAUCCGAGGAUGAGGCAACUCACCGGGGGCGGCGUCCACGGCUUCACGCUCUGAGACUACUCACAAUGGGGAGUAAACAUAGAGUAGUAACACACAUAUGUUACUAGUCUAAGUUACUAUAUCCAUAAUGGAUAGUAACAUAGGAGUAGUAACGUUGAGUCUUUCAUUUAUUAGCCUAUAGACUCAUCUUGUCUUGGUAUCCGUUAUGUUACUCCUAGUAUGAGUAACAUGCUAAGUUACUCAAUUUCUCUCUCUUCUCAUUAAUUAGUUGCCACGUUAUAUUUCUUACUUAUGUGGCAUCUAUAUUACUACCUAUAUUACUCCUAUUAUGGAUAGUCUGAUCGAUGCGCGCUCUCUGUCGUCUGUGCCUUUUAAAUUCCAUGAAAAGGGGAUAUCGUUGUAUACUAGCAAAAGCUGCCUCCAAAACAUAUACUAAUAAUAUUGAUUUAAUGUUUUGAAGCAUUUGCGGACAUGUGAAGAGUCGGAUUUGUAGUGUAUAUGCUCUAAUACAAUUCACAUACACACGCAUAAGAUAACCCCCUCGCAUGACAGCACGUUCAUUCGUUUGUAUUUAUGUUGGAACGGUCAAGGCGGACGUUUGUUCCCAGACAGUUCAUUCGUUUGUAUUUAUGUUGGAACGGUCAGGGCGGACGUUUGUCCCCAGACAGCCAGUGGCAGUGAACAUCUUUUCGCAGCAUCCGAGGAUGAGGCAACUCACCAAGCGCGGCGUCCAUGGCUUCACGCUCUGAUCUAAGCGCGCUCUCUGUCGUCUGAGCCUUUUAAAUCUGCACCUUGCGUGCAUGAAAAGGGGAUAGCGCUCGGACUCCUUUCGUCUGGAAUCCAUUGCGUCUGCAAAGAUGAUGCAUGAUUUCGCCGGUAAUGGUGCCAUCGCUGCCUCACCAAAGAUGGUGUGUAUUGUCUGGCGUCGGAUGCAGCCGGUCGCUAGAUAUGAGCAUGACGGAGCCGACCGAGCUCCACUUACUAUUAGGUUUAGGUUGCACGUAACAAUAUUGAUUUAAGGUUUUCAAGCGUUUGCGGGCACGCGAGGGGUCGGAUUUGUGCUGUAUAUGCUCUAAUCCAAUUCACAUGCACACACAUAAAAUAACCCAUCACAUGACAGCAUGUUCAUUUGUUUGUAUUUAUGUUAAAAUGGUCAGGGGGCAGUGAGCAUCUCUUCGCAGCAUCCGAGGAUGAGGCGCGGCGUGCACGGCUUGACGCUCUGAUCGACGCGCGCUCUCUGUCAUCUGUGCCUAUUAAAAUCUGAACCUUGCGUGCAUGAAAAGGGAAUCGCUGUACAUGCAGUCGUGACCUUUUGCGGUGGUAGUAUACUCUACUAGCAAAAGCUGCCUCCAAAACGUAUACUACGCCAUCUCCACUCCAAACAGAGUUUUUGAUGGACACGAUGAUAGUAACGGAGAGGUAUAUUAUUCAGUACGAAGGGACCUCUGUUAACAAGUGGAGUGCACAAUUGUUUAGCAAGAAGAGAAGACGACUGCCAGAGAGCACGACGUACUGCGCAAAAGGCAUGGAUGACACUUGUUUACAAGUGCAGUGGAGCACCGCACUAAGGCAGUAUAUAUAGUGACAGUGAGGAGUAGAAAAAAUAAAUCAGAAUCAUCUCCUUGGUCAUCAUCUAGUUCAUACAGUUGUAAUUUGUUUUUGAACCGUGACCGUAGAACAAUUGUUCUGCGGUAUUUUCGUUUAUUUCCCAUCACGCUGGGUGCAAAAGGUACUUUUUGCAAAUAAAAAAAAUUGAAUAUGGUUUGAAAUGCCCGAAAGUUUUGUGUGCUACAGACAAUUAGUGGCAAAAAGUUGGUAAAAAAAUACUUCUUAAAAUUAGCUUUCUUUAGAGCAUUAAAAGUUUGUUUCUUCCUCAUCAUAUAAUUAUCGAAUUAUUAAUUUUCGAUUCUGGCUGAGAAACGUUCUCUUCUCGGCCAGACAAACUUCCACAAGAUGCUGGCUCUGGCUCAACAUUUGUAGGCUGGUUUACAAGGAGAAGGCAUAGAGUGCCCAGCAGGUUGCACUUUCGAUUCAUGCACUUUCCACCUUGAAGGCCACAAUGAUGAUAGGUGGUUGGCCGUCUUUUUAUCACAAUAGUCUACAAGAUAGUAAAAUGUACAAACCCACCACAAUCAUAUCACAAAAUGUAAAACUCCACCACUUUAUAAAACCUAGCAAAACACACCAAACGCUAUCAUUGACCAUCGUAAAAAUCACUGACCAAAAUUUAAAUCAUGUUUUGAUGUGGCAAAUCGCUCACGUGACAAAUGGAUACAAAAUGUUGACUGGCGGACGUUUAAAACGUUUUGGUUCAGUCAUAAUAACCGGAGAGCACAUGAAAGAGAAUAUGUACUAGCUAGAGUAUAUUACAAAUCCGCAGAGAUGCGGCCUCUUCCUCGAUCCAUGGCGGCGCGGUGGCUGUUGCUAGAGGCGUUUGUGGUGAUGUGGGGUGAGAUGCGAGAGGAUGGAGGUAGGGCUGGGUGUGGCCGGUGGAAAUAGAACUGACCUCUAAUUUCAUACAGUUUGUCUGCAUGUCAUCUCACAUACAACCUUUCCCCAGUUUGCACGAAUCUUGUUACCUCGAACGAAUCUACUCUCCAGUUCGCACGCAUGCGCAUGUGCUACCCACCAGAUCCACAAAAUAAACCUACACCUCUUCUUCCACCGAUCGAUUGGUAGCAGACAUACGUACGUAUAUCGUUCCGCUCGAGUUGCGGCCUAGUCCUCUUCUUCCACCAAUCGAUUCUGGCAAGAAGAAGGAAAUAGUGGAGAUAUAUUUCAGCUAUCUUGUACUCCCUCCGUCCCAAAAUAAGUGUCUUAAGCUUAUUACAAUUUUUUACUAGAGCUAAUACAAAGUUGAGACAAUUAUUUUGGGGCGGAGGGAGUAUCAUAUAGUAAAUAAUAUUCAUGGAACCAACAAUAAUUACAUUAAGGAAGAAUAUUAUUAGCUAGAUUGAAUGAGAAAGAGAGUCCAAAGUAUUACCUGGUUAAUAUUUGUCUCUGUGUUACAGGAUUCAGACGUGUAGAAAACUAUUCCAUCACAAUCGGAUGGUGGACUGCUCGUGUUCAUGUAGAAGGUGCACCUGGAUGCCAUAUCACACAGAACAACCUUUCCCCCCAGAGACUCGCAUGGACAAAUGCGAAGAAGUGGAGGCUUCCUUGAUUUAAGUGGGCCUACAUGCAUGGAUUUGAUCAUGACAUAAAGCAUGAGAUUCCGAUUGUCAUGAAAGAGGCAAGAAUACUCGAAACUAGAAGAUGCAGUAGCAGACAUACAUACGUAUAUCUAUCCUUUUUUGGAUAUCGAUGUCUGCUUCCUCGUUCCGCUCUGAGUUGCGGGCUAGUCCUCUUCUUCCACCAGUCGAUUCUGGCAAGCAAAACGAAAUAGUGGAGAUAUAUUUGAGCUAUCAUAGUAAAUAAUACGCAUGGAACCAACAAGGAUUGCAUUAAGGAAGAAUAUUACUAGCUAGAUUGAAUGAGAAAGUGACCAAAAUAUUACCUGAUGAAUAUUUGUCUGUAUGUUGCCGGAUUCAGACGUGUAGAGCACGUGCCAUUUCUUCUCGUCUCCUCCAUCCUCUGCAUAAGCCUCGACCUGCUUGAUAUGACUGAACUUGUCCCACUCGGAGCUAGAUUCACCCUCAGCCAUGGACGUGAGUACUACUAGGUUGCAGGUCAGCAGCAAAUGACUAGGCUUUACAGUCCGCAGGUACACCGGAAGUUGAUUUUCCCAGCUGAAAACUCUCAGCCCGAGUCUCCGGAGUGCAUCCAUGUCCUUCAGCGUCUCGAGCUUUGGGCAGUACUUGAUAUCAAGCUUUUGUAAUUUUGGAAGAUUGGAGAUGAUGGCCAGCUCGGGUAGUUUUCCCAAGUCGAGCUCAACUACAGAGACAAAGUUCUCUAGAGAGGGGAGACGUUGGACGUUCCAUAUUACUAGCUUCUUCAAAGCCGUUGCAUGGGACAUAAGUCCUGGAGGCAUACGACCCAGUUUGCAGCCACUGAUACCAAGUUCCUCCAAGAAGGGCAUAGCUUUCACUUCCGUGUCCCAAACCCACUCCUGCCAUUCCCCCAUUCUUGUAAAAUCCAACUUGUGGAGUUUGGGAAACGUAGCAGCAAACUGAGGUGAAGGACGGUGCCGUUGACUGUACUGUUGGACGAAUUCAGGACCGACACACUUGAUUACUGAGGCCCCGUCCACUUGUAGCCACUCCAAAUAAGGGAGCCGACACAACCCAUCCGGGAGUUGGGUGCAGCAGGGCAGGUGUUCGAGGCAUAGAAGCUUCAAGCUCUCGAGGGGCACCAUAGCUGUGGACGCCAUCCAUCCUGGGAGCCGGCGGCCAAAAUAUCUUUCUAU